rnacentral:tRNA from 1 species
GCCCAGGUGGCGAAAUGGUAGACGCGCCAGUUUCAGGUACUGGUGACCGCAAGGUCGUGGAGGUUCGAGUCCUCUCUUGGGCACCA